rnacentral:misc_RNA from 1 species
CCUCCCUUUAUAUCUCCAGCACAUCGUAUUGGAUAAAAUCGUCGUCUACCUCCCGCAGAUUUUUUUCACCGUCGUUCACUCGUUCACAUCCCUUCUCUGUACGUGGCUCUGGAUUUUCUUUUCCCUGCGCGCUUAUCCAGCCGCCGCUCAACUCAAGCAUAAAAAUCAAGCACGCGGGCCCUGAAGCUUCACUUGACGCGUCCCGGCCAAGCCCUUGCUCGGAUUCCAGGCGUCUUCUUCCCUGCCCCUGUCCUGUUUUUCUCUGCGCAGGAUUUGGAGCCCCUGCCAUGGCCGCAAGCUCGCUCUGCCCCCUGCUUUUCCUGGCCACGGCGUCCCUGUUCCUCGUCGCCCGGUCGCUCGAUCUCUCCUCUAGCGCGCAGCCACUCCUUUUUCUCUCUCUGGUAUGCUUCCAGUCGAGUGGUGCCAUGGCGCUCCAUUUUUUUUCUGCGCGUGAGCUCUGCGUUUCCCAGCUCUGCUCCAGCCGCGUCCGCUGCUCAUCCCCUCUACCGCGUCUUCCUCCUUGCUCCUUGCGCGAGCCGCGACCCUCUGACCAGUCCCAGCCGAGCUCCCUCCAGCUCCAACCCGGCUCCAUCCAUGGCCGUGCCGUGCUGCUCGUCGGUGCUCGCCGCGGGAGACGGCGCUCGGUCGCCCCUUCUCCCCCUGCUCCGAUCUCGCUCGUGAAGCUCCCAUGGCGCGCCACGAGCUCCUCACGGCCGUACCUGGCCGGAUCUCCCAGCCGAGCCGCUUUUCUUCAUCUUCCCGUGUGUCGCGGAGCUCGGAUCGCGCCCCGUCUCCUCUGCUUGCUCGGCGCCCGUCUCCUAUGGCGUCUGGCAGCCGCUUCUCUCUGCGCGCUGCGUUUUUUUAUUUAUUCCCCAAGUUUCCAGUCAUGGCGUGCUCUCCCUGCUCGCCUGGCCGGAGCGCCCUGCGCUCUGCUCGCCCAUGGAGUUUGCUGAGCUCCAUUUCUGCUCGGUCGUGCCCCUACCGAGUCUCCCAUGGCCGUACCCUGGGAUUCGCCGGAGUCUGCUUCCCUCGCCGCGCGCUGCUUCUUCCCAUGGCACGACUGCCCUGCUCUAUUUGACGGACGCGCAGUCGCCCUGCUCGCGGAGCUUCCUUGCCGUGGCCGUCGCGUGCCUGCGCGCAGCUCGGCGCCUGGUGCUCGCCCCUGCUGCGCGUGUCGAACUCUUCUAGUGCGUGUACGAAGUUCUCUGGUCGCCACGGCGUGUCAAGUUUCCGCGUCGAACUCUUCUAGUGCGUGUACGAAGUUCUCUGGUCGCCACGGCGUGUCAAGUUUCCGCGUCGAGCCCCCGCGUUGAAUCAAGCCUCAUGUUGCCGUAUUCCUGUUUCAGUUUGUCGUGUCGCGCCAUCAUCGCUCUGUCGUAAGCUUGCUAGCCACAAUUAUCUUAACCGCGUCAGCACGCGACUGUAGUCGUGUUCAUCGAAUUCGCCAACGCUUUGUUGCCGAUUCGACUGUCGUCGCUUCGCGUGUUGUCGAGCCCGUCGUUUUCCAUAUCUUGUACUCGCGUGGUUUCCUGCUCGCCGGUGCGCCCUCUCGGCUCGCUCGGCUUUAAUUCCCAAUCGCGUCGUCGAUUCCGCCGGUUAACGUCGUUUGUCGUCGCGUCGCGAGUACAGCUCUAUAUACGUCACCCUUCUGAUCGUCGUCGAUCCGUGUGUCAUUAAGAAAUCCUAAGAAUCGGGUGAAGACGAAGCUAGCAGCACGAUAUUCCCCAAGCGUUCGACAAAUUGCUUGGAUAGGAAAAUUGCUACCGAUCUCGUGGAUUCAUGUCAGCUGUGGAAACGGUAAGCUGAUAAAUUAUUCAGUAUAGUUCGAUCGUUGAAUAAAUUAAUAUGUUAGUGCGAGGCUCAUUAGGGUGCUCGAUAAAUUGCGUAAGUCACGAAACUCUCGUCGACUUCGCAGUUCUUGCGAUUAUCGAGCCAGGUUCAG